rnacentral:rRNA from 1 species
UACGUAGGCAGCAAGCGUUGUUCGGAGUUACUGGGCGUAAAGGGUGUGUAGGCGGUUCUCUAAGUUUGGUGUGAAAUCUCCCGGCUCAACCGGGAGGGUGCGCCGAAAACUGGAGGACUGGAGUGCGGGAGAGGAGAGUGGAAUUUCUGGUGUAGCGGUGAAAUGCGUAGAUAUCUGGAGGAACACCGGUGGCGAAGGCGGCGUUCUGGACUGCAACUGACACUGAUAAACGAAAGCCAGGGUAGCAAACGGG